AGGAACCAUCCUCAAGGAAUGGACAAACAAGAGAGAAGCACAGAAGCAAUUACAACGCAACGUGAAAAAACAAUGCGUAUAUGCGAUGUGUGCUUCCCGUGGGGAGGCCGGGUGCAGUCUGGAGUGCUUCAUUCCGAGGAUCCUGUUUAUUCCACAGCCAUCACUGCUGGACUUCCUCUCGGUGAUAUGAACAGCAGAGACCAGUCAGGAGGUGAUGGCACAGACGGCAGAAAAGGCUGAGCAGUGAAGUCCAUGUUAAACAAUCAACAGAAUUUUCCCGGAUUGAGAGGUGUAGGUGGAAGGUUUCAUGCAGGGAAUUAACCAGGCAAAAACAUCCAGCAACAAGAAAGACCACACACAGUUCAUCAGAAGAGCAUGGCAGAAUCUGCUACCAGAUCAGUGAACACAGCGACCCUAAGUAGUUUUAAACAUCUGAGGGACUGAGCUUUCACAACUAAUAUCUGAAGGAGAGGUUCUGAGAAUGAGCUUAAGGUUGCCAAGGGGAAGGAUAGGGGAACGGAUGGUAAGGAUGUUUGGGACAGACAUGUUCAGUACAGCUUAGUUGAGUCGCUAAGUUGUGUCUGAUUCUUUGUGACCCCAUGGACUGCAGCACCCAGGUUUCCCUGUGUUUCACCGUCUCUGAGUUUGCUCAAACUAAUGUCCAUUGAGUUGAUGACACUAUCCAACCAUCUCAUCCUCUGUUGUCCCUCAUUCCUCCUGCCUUCAGUCUUUCCGAGCAUCAGGGUCUUUUCCAGACAUGUAAACAUGGCUAUAUUUAAAUUGGAUAACCAAUAAGGGGAAAAAAAAUAAAAGGUCUGUUAGAAUCAAAAACAUAUAUAAAUNNNNNNNNNNNNNNNNNNNNNNNNNNNNNNNNNNNNNNNNNNNNNNNNNNNNNNNNNNNNNNUUUAGGAAAGGCAUGAAAGUAUCUCCUAAUCUCAAGGACACAAUAUCAAUCCUCCUCUAUUUUUAAGCCCAGGUUAUUAAUAUUUAUAAUUUUAAAAGUUACUUAUUGGAGAGUAAUAAAAGGAUAUUAGGAAUUUUACAAAAGCAUAGCAGAGGACUGGGGGAAUAAAAUUUCGCCCAAACUGAAAUACUUCUUUAAAAUAUCCCAAUAAUAAUAUGUUUCCCUUUCAACUUUGAAAAAGAUGGUUAGGCAGAUUCAAGUCUUAAAAAAUAAAGUUUGCCUUUGGCGGCAGAGUCAAUUCUUUCAAACCUAAUUUCCACUCCCCUCCCCUUCUGCUUUAGUCAUAGAAAUUUGGUUUUAUUUGGCCUGGCAAUGUGCCCACUUAAACACCACACGGGAGUCUCCAUGAAGACAGUGGUGGCCAAGGAAUUCCAAGUACAAGUCAGAGAGGAGAUUCCAGAAAGCCCCUCUGCAGUUUUUGCUUCCCCUGCUCUUGCAGACAUG
rnacentral:lncRNA from 1 species